AUGGCAGCAUUUCUAAUUACAUGUGUCAUCAUCCAAGCAGUCCUGCUUUGGGUUAUCGAAUGUAGACCUCUUAAAAAUGGCCCCAUGUAUAAAGCUAGGUCCACUGGCGGUGGCUCUUAUAAAGCGCCAGGAGACCCAGAAUCCACACAUGGAGCAUCUCAAGAUGGCUCCUGGGUUAUGUCUCCUAUCACCUUCUCCGGAGGGCAAGGUGGUUCAUCCACCAGUAAUGGCAGCCCAUCUGCGUUACCUCCUCCACCGGAGUCCUUCCCAGGAGAGCUGCUCCAGGUUGAGGCCACGAACGAGAAGGGUGCCUACGAGUCUGAGACCCAGGAAAAAGGCACCCCUCCACUGCCUGCCAGCGCUCCUCAACUAGGAGCCUCCAUGCCCAGUGCCUUUUCCCGGGGGUCUUCCUUUCCUUUCAAUAUGAGGUUCCUCAGAGGCCAGUACCUUACAGGAACCUACACUGACUACACCAGUAGCUUGGAGAAUGGCAGAGAUGACUCGCAGGAGAACCACUACAUCGUUUAUGACUCUCCCAGCAGCAGUGAGGAAGAGCAGCAGCAGCAGCAGGAACAGCAGUGGGAGGAGGAGGAGCAGUGGGAGGGGCAACAGCAGGAGUGGGACAGCGUGCAACCAGUGUGGCAGCAGCAGCAGGGCCAGAGCGUCCAGAUGGCCAGUCUGGGAAUGCCAUCAGGAUAUGGACAACAAGCCCAGAGCUUUCCCACUAGGUAUUACCAGUAGCCAACCGCUAGGCAGCAAGUAUGGGGGGGAGGAGGAGGGGGGAGGAGGAGAAGCCCUCGGUGAGUGCUGUAUAUGGAGGGUACAAGGGAUGGAAGUGAACCCUUGAUCAUUAACAUGUUGUCGGUUUGGUCAAUAAAACUACAAAUGUAACUUCCAUGUAUUGUGUACUGCUUGACUUGAUUUUACUAGCGACAACAUUCAGCACGCACACGUCUACAACAAGAGAGCAUUUGUACCUAAUUUUGCGGACUACCAUGAUCCAUAGCCGCAUGAUUAAGGGUUAAUUGCAGGUAUGGAGCUCGUAAGUCGCCAUUGCACAUGGGACCUAUGAGACCGAAAAAAAUGAAUGAGAAAGUAAUUAUUUUCUGAUCCAAGUCUUUAUAUGCCCCGGAUUACACUUGUUUGUGGAUUUAAAUGAUAAUUUUCAUGCAAAAAAAAUAAUUUAGCGGGU
rnacentral:lncRNA from 1 species